rnacentral:rRNA from 1 species
GAUGAACGCUAGCGGCAGGCUUAACACAUGCAAGUCGAGGGGUAACGAUAGUGCUUGCACUAGGCGACGACCGGCGAACGGGUGCGUAACGCGUAUAGAAUCUGCCUUGUACAGGAGGAUAGCCUUUAGAAAUGAAGAUUAAUACUCCAUAAUGUAUUGCGGUGGCAUCACCACAAUAUUAAAGAUUUAUUGGUACAAGAUGACUAUGCGUCCUAUUAGUUAGUUGGUAAGGUAACGGCUUACCAAGGCAGCGAUAGGUAGGGGGUCUGAGAGGAUUAUCCCCCACACUGGUACUGAGACACGGACCAGACUCCUACGGGGGGCAGCAGUGAGGAAUAUUGGGCAAUGGGCGCAAGCCUGAUCCAGCCAUGCCGCGUGCAGGAAGACUGCCCUAUGGGUUGUAAACUGCUUUUAUACAGGAAGAAACUGUAGUACGUGUACUACACUGACGGUACUGUAAGAAUAAGCACCGGCUAACUCCGUGCCAGCAGCCGCGGUAAUACGGAGGGUGCAAGCGUUAUCCGGAAUCAUUGGGUUUAAAGGGUCCGCAGGCGGUCGAUUAAGUCAGAGGUGAAAUCCCAUAGCUUAACUAUGGAACUGCCUUUGAUACUGGUUGACUUGAGUCAUAUGGAAGUGGAUAGAAUAAGUAGUGUAGCGGUGAAAUGCAUAGAUAUUACUUAGAAUACCGAUUGCGAAGGCAGUCCACUACGUAUGUACUGACGCUCAUGGACGAAAGCGUGGGGAGCGAACAGG